UACAGAGGGGGCAAGCGUUAUUCGGAAUUAUUGGGCGUAAAGGGCGCGUAGGCGGCCUGGCAAGUGGGAGGUGAAAUCCCUCGGCUUAACCGAGGAACUGCCCUCCAAACUGCUUGGCUUGAGUCCGGGAGAGGUGAGUGGAAUUCCCAGUGUAGCGGUGAAAUGCGUAGAUAUUGGGAGGAACACCAGUGGCGAAGGCGGCUCACUGGACCGGAACUGACGCUGAGGCGCGAAAGCGUGGGGAGCAAACAGG
rnacentral:rRNA from 1 species